CGAAAUCGUCCGUCAAAGCUAUUCAAAAUAUCGGUGUGAUAUAUUUUAAAAACAAGAAAAUAAACAUCGGGCCGGCAGUUAGGAAGGAGGCCUCCUUCGUACAGCCAGAGUUAGUCUACUGGCUUCAAAAUACAUAUAUUCCCCAACAGACCCAAUGUUGCAUGGGUUAUUCACCACCAAUUACGGACCCUAUUAAUUGGAAUUGUUAUCCCUAAGCCAAUCAGCAAGUUCCAAAUGCC